CUGUAUUCUCCCAGCAAACACUGGGGCCAUGGCGUCUCUCCUCUAAUGACACCUCAUCAAUCCGCUCCUAUCAAUGUCCCAGCCAUGGAGGUGACUUCGAGUGCUCAGAAGCCUUAGAAAAUGUCAACGUUUUGGGAGAAAAGGAUUUUAGGUUAUAGAGACAAAGGAUUCAUCCUUCAAAAUUUAUAUACAGAAGAACACAUCAGAGUUAGAGAAAUUAGGAAGAUCAUGAGUUGCUUACAGGUGCUUACCAGUGGUUCAGUAGUAAAGGUCCACCUGCAUAAUGCAGGAGCUGUGGGAGACCUGGGUUCAAUCCCUGGGUCGGGAAGAUCCCCUGGAGAAGGAAAUGGCAACUCACUGCAGUAUUCUUGCCUGGAGAAUCCCAUGGACAGAGGAGCCUGGUGGGCUACAGACCAUAGGCUUCAGAUGCGACUGAAGUGACUUAGCAGUGGCAGUAGUGAGUAGUUUUAAGUCAGAUUUCGCACAAACUUGUCUUUCAAUAUAUAUCUUUUGCAUACGGUAUAUAUAAAAUGUGUGCUGUCAAAUCUGAAACACCUCAACUGUUGAUUUGAUCUUUAAUCAACUCUCUUUAGAUACAAUUGAAAAACAUGAUUUAUAACAGCAUUCCAGUGUCAAAAUAGAACUUGAAGAGUACCAGAGAGUCAUAAUAAAAAUAGUCUUGGCAGGUAGUAUUAUGUCA
rnacentral:lncRNA from 1 species